CAGGGACGGACUGGGAAUAAAACCCGGCCCAAAGCAAUCGGCUAAUUUUGGACUGAUACUGAGACUAAGAUCUCUGCAUGUAAAGGCCAGCAGAUGGCACCCAACCAAUCCAACAAAGACUUUUCCAGUAGAGGACAGAGCCUCAUAGAGCUUCAUACUGGCUCUGCUGCCCAUCAGAUGCACCAUAAAUGGCCUCCAUCUGCUGGACACUUUCCCCUGCUGACGUGCCUGUGUGUGUGUGUGUGUGUGUGUGUGUGAUGAGUGUGAGAGGAGCUUCUUUUGCCAUGCAAAUGAUGUCUGUCAUCAGAGAAGAGCUCAGGUGCAUCUUUCACCCGUGAUGCUCUUCAUGCAGAUUAUGACCUCCAUCUCUGAUUUUUCU